GCUCCAAAAAGCUGACUAUAGUUGUCAUGCAAUAUUAAGAGCAGUGUGAUAUACUUUGCAAUGCACCUUUAUGAAAUGUUGAGGCAUAUGAAUUAUCUUUGUUUACAGAAUUUUUAGACUUGCUGAAUCGCCUUAAUGGAAGUACAACCGAUCACAGUCCACACAGCAAUGGCACAGCUGGAGGUGAGGGUGAUGGAGGGGGAGGAAGGAGUGGUGGAGGAGGCAGCUCUAGUGAAAACGUACGCCGACGAAAAUCAUCGACAAACGAAGAAAAGUCCAGCACUGCUGGCAGUGGUUCUCAGGCAGCUACUGGGGAAUAUACCUCAGAUCAACUAGAUUCUGUUAGGAGAAUUAGGAAGUGCAAAGAUUACUAUGAAAAUUUUAGUGUUACAAAGGAAGCAACAGAUAAUGACCUAAAGAAAGCAUAUCGUAAAUUAGCGCUUCAGUUCCAUCCAGAUAAAAACAAGGCACCGGGCGCUAGCGAAGCAUUUAAAGCCGUAGGGAAUGCAUUUGCUGUCUUGAGUGAUGCUGAAAAAAGAAAGCAGUAUGAUUUAUAUGGUCCAGAAGGAAUCCACUUCUAACCACACAGAAAACACUUACCGCCACGACUUCACUCGGGGAUAUGAAG